GUGCUUUUUUUUCUUUUACACUGAAGAACACAUCUUAUUCUCAUUGUUCUAGACUGAAAUGAGUAAUGUGUAAUUCUGGUGGGGUCCAAAGUAGAAAUUAGUUGGGCAAAGAUGAUAUGAAUGAAAAAGUAUUUUAAACGUUUAAGUAAUGUUCUGCUUUGUGAAUAUGUAAGUAUAGCAUAAAGAUUUUUCCAUCCCAUUUAUCCCCUUUAAAACCAUAGUUUACAAUUGGUAGAUCUGUCUAUAUAUAUAAAUAUAUAUAUAUAUAUGAAAUUCACCUAAAUCUGCUUUAUUAGAAUACCGCUCACUUAAUGCUUAGAAACUGGACCUGGCUCUACACUCUUAAUGUAUCUUCCUUUUGUUUUUUGUUUAUUUUGUUUGUUUUCAUUUGUUUUUUUUAUUUUUUUCCCUUGAGGUAUGAACUUUUUCUCUUGGAACUGAAUCUUCUUUUACUACUUAAAUCAUUUAUGUAUAUCUGGUAAAUUAUGACCAAAUUUGUUGUUAGACUGCAUACAGUAAAUUGAAAUAUACACUUGGUACACUACAGAAUUGUUGUGCUUUUAUUCUGGUUACCUUUGCAAAAGCAGGAUUUAUUAGAAAUCAGUGUAAUUUAUAAGUAUUUUGUUCACUGGCCUUAAUAUACUGUUGCAUUGUGACAAUCAUUGUUUCCUUGGUAAUAUUUAACUGCUUGCCUUCAGAAGCUGCAUGUAAUUGCUCUUGGUAGGGUUGGAGGGAGAGGGAUGACUACUGAAAUGUGAUGCUAGCUCUUUAGGAAAUGGUGUGAAAUAGUUUAAUGGAGAUCCACUCUUCUCAUGCUGGAGAAAAAAAUUCGGUUGCUAUCUGCUGUCUUUAUUUUCUGAUUGGUUUGUUCAGAUGCUAUUUUAAAUAUAUUACUUUGAUUGGGGAGCUCUAAAUUAAUAGAUGAAUUUCCUAAUAAUUACCUUAAAGGGGAUAGCUCAAAUUUCUUUACUGGUGUAAAAAGUAGGAAGAAAUUUGUUUGCACUCGAAAUCAUCUUCCUCUUAAGAAAUGCUGGAGCUAUGCUGUAGUAAAUAUGCCAAUUUUAAAAUUAGAAGAAAAAGGGUACUGCCCUGAUAGUGUCUCCUGUAUCAAAUUAAACCAUCUAGAAAUGUAUCUAGUUUUGCUUUUUGUCUUCUGAUGAAAUACUUUUCAAACCAAACACGAGAGUUGCUUGUUUGGGGCAAUGCCAUGCAAGAGCAGGUUUCUGAAAAGAAUCCCGCAUGUUAAAGACAGACAAAUGCAGAAUUCUGGUGUUAGGAUUCCCCCCUUUCUGUGGCUGUUCUGUUGUAAAGAAAUGCUGUGGAGAAGGUGGGUCUUCUCGGUUGUGUUCUGGUGAUUGUCUUCUAGAAAGAAAUGCGCAGAGCACUUUCUGGCAGGAAGCUGUGAUGCAAGACCGAAUGAAAUCACUAAGUAAAUUCACCUUGAUUAGAAGUCCCUGUCAAAGUAAGUGUAAUUGAAGGAAGACAAACAACUUAAAAAUGUGCCUUACGCCUAUGUGGAAUUAGUUACUACAAGCGUUUUCCAGUUGUAAUGUCAGACGCAGCUUGCAGGCAAAAUGGUUUUUUUUCAAUUGCAUGUAACGUUUGUGUAUUUAAACUAACAAGCAGAUCUUCUAGUAAAAAAAAAAAAAAUCUGAAGUGAAAACAGUUUUGAAAGCUGAAGAUGAUGCUUGGUUGCCAGUACCAUGAUGCACCCUAAGAAAUAGGGGUUAGAAUUAUUGGUCCUAAUAAGUGCGUUGUUACUUUGCAGAUGCAUAUACUUCUGCCAAUGCACAGUUUUGAGUUCCUUAUUGUCUGUCCCCAUUCCUUCUGAAAAGAAUGAGCAUUAUCAGGUGAAGAAAACUUUGGGACCAGAACAGUGGAAUCUGAAUGGCUUUUAGUUGUGUGGUUCACCACAGUAAUUCUGGUUAGCAGAAGAUGCUUUCUUUGCCUAGCUUUAAGUUGAUAAGUCUUUUAAUUUAAUUCUUUAAUAUGGACAGUCUCUCUGGUUUGCUUUCUUGAAGUUUUUUUUCCUCACUUUUCCUGUUUUUGCAGCUUGGUAACACAAGUUUCCCAUCUAUUCUAUAAUAUUUGUGUAGUGUGCUGACUCCAUGCAGAUGCAGAGUUCUCUUCACAAGACUGUACAUUAUUGGGUGGUCCUUUUUACAUUUUUAUAUUUAAAUGGCUGUGGAAACUAAUGUGAGAAAUGAAAAGAAGAAAAUUGACACCUACCUCCUCGUCCCCUUUGAAAAACUUGCCAUGCCAAAAGAAAGUGAAAAAGGAGAGAGAUGUUGAACGCAAUGUGAUAAGAAAAAGACUCUUGGAUUUGAGUUGAGUAGUAUCAUUCAGUUAUUUUAAGGAGUAUUUAAGAUGCACAAUUUGGUGACAGCCUUCUGAUGAAGAAAGAAACCCAAUUUUGAUUUUAUUUGUCUUCUCCAGAUUGUGGUUUAGGCUCUGCAGCAAUAGUACCAUUGAGCAGUUUUUCUGGAGGAACUAUUUUGUUAUGGAAUGCUGAUUUGAUGAGUGACCUGCAUGUGCUCUUUUGAGUGUUGUCAUAACUCUUCUCUGUAUUUUUCUGCCCCGGAUUCUUCCUGGAAUGCUGUUUUUCCCUUUCUGGAAGACAUGGAAAGGGAUAUGGUACACAGUGUAUGCGUGCAUGGGGAAAAAAUUGUUAGCUUGUAGGAAAGGCAUGUAUUCAGACUAGAAACAGACUUUCCUACUGGAAUUGUUUUUGUACAUUCCUCUGAAGCGUUUUAGUUUUGGACCCUAAAUAGUAGUAUAAAGAAACCACUAGUCAG